rnacentral:rRNA from 1 species
GAUGAACGCUGGCGGCGUGCCUAAUACAUGCAAGUCGAGCGAACAGACGAGGAGCUUGCUCCUCUGACGUUAGCGGCGGACGGGUGAGUAACACGUGGAUAACCUACCUAUAAGACUGGGAUAACUUCGGGAAACCGGAGCUAAUACCGGAUAAUAUAUUGAACCGCAUGGUUCAAUAGUGAAAUACGGUUUUGCUGUCACUUAUAGAUGGAUCCGCGCCGCAUUAGCUAGUUGGUAAGGUAACGGCCUACCAAGGCAACGAUGCGUAGCCGACCUGAGAGGGGGAUCGGCCACACUGGAACUGAGACACGGUCCAGACGACUACGGGAGGCAGCAGUAGGGAAUCUUCCGCAAUGGGCGAAAGCAUGACGGAGCAACGCCGCGUGAGUGAUGAAGGUCUUCGGAUCGUAAAACUCUGUUAUUAGGGAAGAACAAAUGUGUAAGUAACUAUGCACGUCUUGACGGUAACUAAUCAGAAAGCCACGGCUAACUACGUG